rnacentral:lncRNA from 1 species
AUAAAUGGCUCUAUCCUACUUCUCAAAUACUGCUUAGACUUUGGCCCUUUCCCAUUUCUUUGCUACAUAGAAAAUCUCAACCCUAGCCCUCGCUGUUGCGCGUUCACGCGCCGUGGAGUCACGUCCCAAUACUGUUUAAAUGUAGCUUAAGGGGUAGGGGGGAGGGCUAACAUCCCCUCAAAAUUGAGAUUUUCGAUGGGCACCCUCAAAGCGCUUCAGUUCUGACUUGCUCCCACAAUACCUUGCGAGAAAACGGAAAAUCAAGAAAUAUCCUAGACAAGAUGGAGGACGAAAAGAUGAGACAGGAUUGGAAAAACACAAAUGACUUCGUUGAGUCCACUGCCACCAGCCCCCCCCACCUCUCCCUCAUGCUCCUCCACCCCAGGCACCUCUUCCACCACCCCAGACACCCCUUCCAAGUGGAGAGUGCCAGGGGGCAGGCGAGGCAUGAGGAGAGCGAGGCAAAGUUGGCGAAAUGGUGGAGAAGAUGUGAUUCUCCACCAUUCUCUCAAAAGCUGAGAGAGUGUGUGUGUGUGUGUGUAUUUUUAGGUGUGUGUUUGUGUGUAUUUUUAGAUGUGUGGUUCAGUGUUUCUUAUUUAAAUAAAGGGUUUCUUCUAAAGUGUUCUUGUUCUUAACCGAUUAUUAUCUAAGGGGGCACUCACACUAGGCCUUCUGGCCGUGGCCGUGGCUGUUUUAGCACCUAUCCGUGCUCAAAUCUGCCAGUGUGAGUGUGGCCAGUCUGGCAGGCCGGGCCAAUUACAAAAUAUAAAUACCAUUUCAGGUUAAACAUCUUUACAAUGGGUCUUGCUCGUUGCCAGAGACAAUGGCAGCCAGUCUGUCUCUUGUAACAUUACCAGGGGUCUGGUUAUCUGCUAGGGGGCACGGGGAGGCCAUGAUGACGUCACAGGGUAGGGUUGUCCCAUUUGGUAGGGGAUCGGUUAGGGUAGCAAUGAGGGGUAGCAAUGAGCAUGAGCAAUGAGGGUUAGGGUUGAGAUGUAGGGUUGAGACAGUGAGCAAAGAAACGGGAUUGGGCCUCUGUAUCUCUUUUUCAUCUAUCUAUUGCUCCUAAGGGUCCCUUAG